rnacentral:rRNA from 1 species
CCUACGGGAGGCAGCAGUGGGGAAUCUUGCGCAAUGGGCGAAAGCCUGACGCAGCAACGCCGCGUGCGGGAAGAAGGCCUUCGGGUUGUAAACCGCUUUCAGCAGGAACGAAAAUGACGGUACCUGCAGAAGAAGGUGCGGCCAACUAUGUGCCAGCAGCCGCGGUGAUACAUAGGCACCAAGCGUUGUCCGGAUUUAUUGGGCGUAAAGAGCUCGUAGGCGGUUCAGUCAGUCGGGUGUGAAAACUCUGGGCUUAACCCAGAGCCUGCACCCGAUACUGCUGUGACUAGAGUUCGGUAGGGGAGCGGGGAAUUCCUGGUGUAGCGGUGAAAUGCGCAGAUAUCAGCAGGAACACCGAUGGCGAAGGCACCGCUCUGGGCCGAAACUGACGCUGAGGAGCGAAAGCAUGGGUAGCAAACAGGAUUAGAUACCCUGGUAGUCCAUGCCGUAAACGUUGGGCACUAGGUGUGGGUUCCAAUCAACGGAAUCCGCGCCGUCGCUAACGCAUAAGUGCCCGCCGNGGGAGUACGCGCGAGACGUAAACUACAAUUAGAGUAGACGGCGUGAGACGNGCCGACGGACGACGACGAGGGAGGAGG